CGAGAAGUAGUUACAAUUUCAAAGAGAUUGUCUCUCAUCAUUAUAUCACUUUGUUUGCAUUCCUGAACUUUAUGGACCUCUUUCAGUGGUAUAACUCUGAGAGGUUCCUUCUCCAGUUCAGACUUGAAAUAUCCUAUUGUGUUUUCAUCCAACUGAAAGUAUCUUCUUUUCCAGUUCUUCAUCACUGCUCCUUGUUUUACACAGUAGCCAGCUUUGAUAAUAGCAUUAUCUGGGGGAUGUUUAGCAGUAAAAUAAGGAAGGUGACUUUGUGAUCGUUUCAGGUAACUCCUAUCACCUCCUUCACUGCACUCGUUGACUUCUUCUUUCUGGGUAGGUGUAAUGAUAGGAACACCACCAACAAUUUCUGUCCUGUAAGACACUUGCUUCUUUCCACCUGGGCUUUCAGCUUGACGGUUUGCAUUAUCCAUUUGACACAGAGGAUCAGACUGCUUUGGUACUGUGAUUUUGGUAGCUUUGUUCAGAACGUUUACCCAUUCUACUAGGUCUUGCUGAUCAUUGGCUUGUAGAAAAUAUUUUCUCAUCCCUGCA
rnacentral:lncRNA from 1 species